rnacentral:snRNA from 1 species
GUGCUCACUUCGGCAGCACAUAUACUAAAAUUGGAACGACACAGAGAAGAUUAGCAUGGCCCCUGUGCAAGGAUGACACACAAAUUCAUGAAGCAUUCCAUAAAUAA